rnacentral:rRNA from 1 species
UGCAAGUCGAGCGAACAGAUGAGAAGCUUGCUUCUCUGAUGUUAGCGGCGGACGGGUGAGUAACACGUGGGUAACCUACCUAUAAGACUGGGAUAACUCCGGGAAACCGGGGCUAAUACCGGAUAAUAUUUUGAACCGCAUGGUUCAAUAGUGAAAGACGGUUUCGGCUGUCACUUAUAGAUGGACCCGCGCCGUAUUAGCUAGUUGGUAAGGUAACGGCUUACCAAGGCGACGAUACGUAGCCGACCUGAGAGGGUGAUCGGCCACACUGGAACUGAGACACGGUCCAGACUCCUACGGGAGGCAGCAGUAGGGAAUCUUCCGCAAUGGGCGAAAGCCUGACGGAGCAACGCCGCGUGAGUGAUGAAGGUCUUCGGAUCGUAAAACUCUGUUGUUAGGGAAGAACAAAUUUGUUAGUAACUGAACAAGUCUUGACGGUACCUAACCAGAAAGCCACGGCUAACUACGUGCCAGCAGCCGCGGUAAUACGUAGGUGGCAAGCGUUAUCCGGAAUUAUUGGGCGUAAAGCGCGCGUAGGCGGUUUCUUAAGUCUGAUGUGAAAGCCCACGGCUCAACCGUGGAGGGUCAUUGGAAACUGGGAAACUUGAGUGCAGAAGAGGAGAGUGGAAUUCCAUGUGUAGCGGUGAAAUGCGCAGAGAUAUGGAGGAACACCAGUGGCGAAGGCGGCUCUCUGGUCUGUAACUGACGCUGAUGUGCGAAAGCGUGGGGAUCAAACAGGAUUAGAUACCCUGGUAGUCCACGCCGUAAACGAUGAGUGCUAAGUGUUAGGGGGUUUCCGCCCCUUAGUGCUGCAGCUAACGCAUUAAGCACUCCGCCUGGGGAGUACGACCGCAAGGUUGAAACUCAAAGGAAUUGACGGGGACCCGCACAAGCGGUGGAGCAUGUGGUUUAAUUCGAAGCAACGCGAAGAACCUUACCAAAUCUUGACAUCCUUUGACCGCUCUAGAGAUAGAGUCUUCCCCUUCGGGGGACAAAGUGACAGGUGGUGCAUGGUUGUCGUCAGCUCGUGUCGUGAGAUGUUGGGUUAAGUCCCGCAACGAGCGCAACCCUUAAGCUUAGUUGCCAUCAUUAAGUUGGGCACUCUAGGUUGACUGCCGGUGACAAACCGGAGGAAGGUGGGGAUGACGUCAAAUCAUCAUGCCCCUUAUGAUUUGGGCUACACACGUGCUACAAUGGAUAAUACAAAGGGCAGCGAAUCCGCGAGGCCAAGCAAAUCCCAUAAAAUUAUUCUCAGUUCGGAUUGUAGUCUGCAACUCGACUACAUGAAGCUGGAAUCGCUAGUAAUCGUAGAUCAGCAUGCUACGGUGAAUACGUUCCCGGGUCUUGUACACACCGCCCGUCACACCACGAGAGUUUGUAACACCCGAAGCCGGUGGAGUAACCUUUUAGGAGCUAGCCGUCGAAGGUGGGAC